rnacentral:tRNA from 1 species
CACUAAGAAGCUAAACAGGACCGUAGCGUUAGCCUUUUAAGCUAAAGACUGGUGACUUCCAACCACCCUUAGUGA